UAUACUAGGGCAGUACCUUUUCAAGUAUCUUCCGUUCAGAGCCCUAGUAAACUCUUCCCCUUCGAUCGUUUCCAUAAUAUAAGUAUUUCCCGGAGCACAUCUGCCAAUUUUAUAUGGCCCUUCCCACGUAGGGGACCACUUACCGAAUUUAGGAUCUUUCGACCCGAUCGGCAACACUAAUUUCCAUACCAGGUCCCCCGGAGAGAAUUGUUUCACUUUGACCUUCUUAUCAUACCACCUGGCC
rnacentral:lncRNA from 1 species